AACGACUCUCGGCAACGGAUAUCUCGGCUCUCGCAUCGAUGAAGAACGUAGCGAAAUGCGAUACUUGGUGUGAAUUGCAGAAUCCCGUGAACCAUCGAGUCUUUGAACGCAAGUUGCGCCCGAAGCCUUCCGGCCGAGGGCACGNCUGCCUGGGCGUCACGC
rnacentral:rRNA from 1 species